rnacentral:rRNA from 1 species
GGGGAAUAUUGCACAAUGGGCGAAAGCCUGAUGCAGCAACGCCGCGUGAGCGAUGAAGGCCUUCGGGUUGUAAAGCUCUGUCUUUGGGGACGAUAAUGACGGUACCCAAGGAGGAAGCCACGGCUAACUACGUGCCAGCAGCCGCGGUAAUACGUAGGUGGCAAGCGUUGUCCGGAAUUACUGGGCGUAAAGAAUGCGUAGGCGGUCUUUUAAGUGGGAUGUGAAAUCCCUGGGCUCAACCCAGGAACUGCAUUCCAAACUGGAAGACUAGAGUGCGGGAGAGGAAGUUGGUAUUCCCAGUGUAGCGGUGAAAUGCGUAGAGAUUGGGAGGAACACCAGUAGCGAAGGCGAACUUCUGGAACGUAACUGACGCUGAGGCAUGAAAGCGUGGGGAGCAAACAGGAUUAGAUACCCUGGUAGUCCACGCCGUAAACGAUGAGUACUAGGUGUAGGGGCGCCAGCCUCUGUGCCGCAGUUAACACAUUAAGUACUCCGCCUGGGAAGUACGAUCGCAAGAUUA